GCUGCAAUGUAAUUAUAUUUAAUUACAAGUGUGCCCCUGGUAGUCUUUAACUGAAGGGCACUGACUGGGUCACUGGUGAAGUUCCCCGCAGGAACUGAGUCAGACCCCAUCUCAGGGCCCUGCACAAGAUAGGUGCCUGCUCUAAGGCGUGGACCCUCGCCACAGCCCUGGCCCGUCUUGACGGGCGAGGGUUACUGUACUUGUCCCAACCGUACAGAUGAGAAAGCUGAGACUCAGGGCCAGCAACCCGGGUCCCAGCGGAGCGCCCGGCACACGCCGACACUUCAGCACCAGUGGCGGUGGCCACCACUGUGGGCGGAGAUGGCUGCGACGCGUGCGCAGAUCUCGAUCCCAAACUCCCUCCUGCCAGAAUCUGGACCCGAAUCCACCCAUUGCCCGUUUUCCGCUGCCGCUGGAGAGAAUCUCUGAGGUCCCCAGGAGAGCCUGCCUGCACGGAAGAGACGCCUCCUCGGUAUGGCCGCCCCCGGAGAGGAGCGAUUAAGUGCAGACCUCCUUGUUGCUCUUGAGCCUGAGCGGCUUCAGGGAGCCAUGUUUGUUACUGGCGGGCGCCGACCUCACUGAGCAUGUGCAGCCCUGGCCGGGCGGCCUCAAAGUUCUGACAUCACAGGGCGGUUCCUGAAGUGGACGUAGUUGUAAGAGCUAGUUAUUUUAGACAAUGCCUCUGGGAUCAGGGACUCUAAUCUGGAAAUAGGUAGUCGGAGAGGUCGGUGAUGCAGUCUCUGGAUCAGAGACCUGAGCUAUAUGGGGUUAGAGAGGGGCCCUGGGCAGGCGAGUCUCUGGGGAGUGUGGUGAGAAUCCUUGUGUAAGAUGCUGGGAGGAGGUGGGGUCAGGGCUGGGGUCCGUGGGCCGACGGGUUGGGGGAUGGCCAGCGUCAGGGAUCAGUAGUAGAGAUUCUAUGUGCCCUGAUCGCCAGUGGAGGUUUUAAAUACAGAGUAUUCAUGAGUUUAGCAAUGUUUUUCGCCUCUCAUUAUUUAAAUAAUUUGAAGUUUUCCCCAAUAACUAGUGUCUUAGAAGUCAUGAAAAUUUCAGAAAAUGACAGGUCUUCUGAGUUCGUGAUGGGAGUUGGGCAGCAGUCGCAUACGAGCACCUGGAGAGUCCUUGCCAGUUCUUUGGGGAUGGGGAGCUCUUAAGACUGCCCUGAGACCGCCCUUUGACCUCAUUGUGGUCCUUUCUAGAUUAAAUGCUGUUUUCCAUGACCGUCUCUGUUCUUCCCAUACGGGAAUGGCAGGCAUUCAGAUCUCCAAGAAUAGAGGAUUAGGAGAGACUCCACCACCUAUGUCCUCACAGUUAAUUAUCGAUUUGUGUCAGUUGCCCAUUUUCUCACUUCCUGUUUGUGUGUCAAGGGGUAUUAAUAAAUCUUUGCCUAUUUAAAGAUA
rnacentral:lncRNA from 1 species